UUGAAGCAUUUUUCUGAGGACUGCCAUAUAAUAUUUGCCAGAUAAUUCUUACAUUUCUGCCAUCUAGGUGAAGAUAUUUAUUGAUUUUCUUUUUUCUUUCAGAGAUCUUCCUGGUUCCUGGUAUGAUGAGUGAUUGGAAUUGGAACCUAGGCGUUUGAAUCUUAUUGAUUCAACAAGACUCUGAGUCUUAUCGAAGGCUUCUGUUUUGGCUGGCUUCUGCUGACAUCUCUCUGGCAGGAGAAGGGGCUGGAUUCGAUGCCAUAUUCCCGCUCUCUGACUAACCCCCAGCCGCAGCAGAAGAGCCACGCGCCUCCACACUUGGGGCCCUUCGCUCGUGCCGGGGUGGUCUCCUUCCGCCGUUCCCGUGGCUGCGACCUCCUCAAAGAGUGCCGCUGGAUCUACAUUUUCGACAUCCUCCCUCUGCUAAGAUUAAGUGUAUCAGUCUAUCCACCCAAAGGCUCAGACCGGCACCUGGCAUAUGACAGAGAGCAUGAGUGGAAACGGAGCAGAGAGAGAGGGAGAGAGAAUCCCAAGCAGGCUCCCGACUGUCAGCACAGAGCCCAACGUGGGGCUUGAUCUACGAGCAGUGAGAUCGUGACCCGAGCCGAAAUCGAGAGUCAGACGCUUAACUGACUGAGCCACCCAGGCGCCCCAUCUGAUUUUCUUAAAUAAACCUCACCCAGCCUCUUACAGUCCUGCAUCACCUGUUUUCUAUUACUUAGCAAAAGGUACCUAAGCCAAAGUUUGUCCUCUUUUUUAACUUGCCAGUGUGCUUGCUAACAAUGUGAGAAAUCACUUCCCGAGACAUGAGAAGAGGGACAAGAGUGAAGAAAAAUUGGGUUAGAAUAACCCACGAAACGGAUCAUUAGAGUUUGUUCAAGUAAGCAUCACUUUUUAACGGAGAGAGAGGGGACAGUGCGGAAGCCCCACACCCGACAGGUGGCGAGACUGGACUCUUCUUUGACAGAUGGUGCUCCGGUUUAUGCACAAAGUUGUCCGUCACGGCAGUCCUUGCAAGAUAUCACGUCCAAGGCCGGGGCCUGCUUUCAUAGGUUACGGAACAGCCAUUGGAUGAACUAUCAUAAAGCCAUUAGAAUGAUACUGGCAAGGGAAUUCCAAAACAUCACACGUUCCAGGGAAGUGCAUAAACGAGGACUCUGAAUGGGAUGCGUUCACACGGUCCUUGUGCUAAAAGCCCUUGUUAAGGUUUUACUUUAUUUCGGGCAUCGUUCCCAAGUGCGGACAGACAGGACUGGCUUGGAAGGGGUCAGAGAGGGCACCGCGCCACCGACCCCUGAGUCGUUCCUCCUCAUCUAAAAGCCAGGACUGGAGCCACACCGAAAUAUGAACACUGCACAUCAUCACAGGCUUUUCUUCGUUGCCCCUCCGCAGUUUGCAGAUGUUCUGACGCUUUAAAAAGAAAACGCUUUUGUUCUCUUUCAGAGUUUCCCUGGAAACUUCUAAAAGGCAGCUGCUGCGGUAUUGCAUCGUCCCCUCUUCCCUCCGCAAAUGUGCAAAUAAAGCAACAUCUCUAUGCCUUUAAUUUAUAACAGGCUAAACUUUCCCCUGUAAGCUGAUACUCUGACCAGAAGUCUGUGGGUGGGAUGGGUGAUGUGUUUUUUGGUUUUGGUUUUUUGGGUUUUUUUUGUCACAGCUUCUUUGGGCCGAUAAACUAGCACUUAAGUGUUUCCCUUUUCCAAACCUCCAAAUGACAAGUGUCUUUGUGGUGAGGUGGCCGUCCAACUGUCACUGCCAGCAUGAACGGUCCCGGGCACACUUAUUUUUAGUUUGCUGUUUAAGCAACAGUUAGGCCGGGUAACCAGGGGCCUUGAGGCCUAGGCUUCUAUGACCCAGAGCAUGGAGCUAUUAAAGAGACAGCAAGGCGAGGUAGGCGGACCUCGUUGGGAAGGCCCAAGCACCUGUUCUCCGGGUGGGCCCGCAAGACGAGGCAGGCAUCUCGUCUUGGGUGACAAGAUUGUAAUCCACUUUUUACGCGGGCGCAUUUUACCAAGGAUGCUCUAAAACAGGAACGUGUUGACUCCACUUGGAUGCACGUAAAACCGGGCAGCCUCAGGGAACUAAUUAUAGUGACGAGGCUGAUGGUAAAAAGCAGAGACCGUGGAAGACAUCUGUUCUACGGCCUGCUCAGCAUUCUG